UGCGUAGGUGGUUUCUUAAGUCAGAGGUGAAAGGCUACGGCUCAACCGUAGUAAGCCUUUGAAACUGGGAAACUUGAGUGCAGGAGAGGAGAGUGGAAUUCCUAGUGUAGCGGUGAAAUGCGUAGAUAUUAGGAGGAACACCAGUUGCGAAGGCGGCUUUCUGGACUGUAACUGACACUGAGGCACGAAAGCGUGGGGAAGCAAACAG
rnacentral:rRNA from 1 species